AGUCGAGCGAAUCGACGGGAGCUUGCUCCCUUAGAUUAGCGGCGGACGGCUGAGUAACACGUGGGUAACCUGCCUAUAAGACUGGGAUAACUUCGGGAAACCGGAGCUAAUACCGGAUAAUUUCUUCCCUCGCAUGAGGGAAGAUGGAAAGACGGUUCUGCUGUCACUUAUAGAUGGACCCGCGGCGCAUUAGCUAGUUGGUGAGGUAAUGGCUCACCAAGGCGACGAUGCGUAGCCGACCUGAGAGGGUGAUCGGCCACACUGGGACUGAGACACGGCCCAGACUCCUACGGGAGGCAGCAGUAGGGAAUCUUCCGCAAUGGACGAAAGUCUGACGGAGCAACGCCGCGUGAACGAAGAAGGCCUUCGGGUCGUAAAGUUCUGUUGUUAGGGAAGAACAAGUACCAGAGUAACUGCUGGUACCUUGACGGUACCUAACCAGAAAGCCACGGCUAACUACGUGCCAGCAGCCGCGGUAAUACGUAGGUGGCAAGCGUUGUCCGGAAUUAUUGGGCGUAAAGCGCGCGCAGGUGGUUCUUUAAGUCUGAUGUGAAAGCCCACGGCUCAACCGUGGAGGGUCAUUGGAAACUGGGGAACUUGAGUGCAGAAGAGGAAAGU
rnacentral:rRNA from 1 species